GUCGAUUUGAUGUUUCAUACAAUUAUUGUGAUACAUUUGAUGUUUCAAAAUUGAGCUUUUUAAACCUGAUGCCC
rnacentral:snoRNA from 1 species